AUUGACUAAAAAAUAUAAACCCAUAUGGAUAAAAAUCCAUAUGGGUUUAAAAUUUACCUAGCUACCUACGAAAGUUUAACAUUUUUAUUUCGUUGUGCAACUCGAAACAGUCUUUUAUUGAAAAACUUUUUUCUUCGACAUUACUUAAAUUCGUUUAACUCAAUAGGAGUUAAUAGUGAAAUUUAUACAAAAAUGGUGCCAUAAGAACAAGAAUAUAUUAUAUUUACGGCAUUUCUUUAUUCUGAAAAGACCGACUGAUCAAACAGUUUUGGGGAAGUUAUCCUUUAAUUAUUUCUAAUAAUUGUAAAUAAAGAAAUGUAAAUUAGCAUUGUACGAGAAAAUAUUUCCCAACAUAGUUUUUUAUUUCCAUUUUUCUAGCCUUUUAUGAGCUGUUGAGUUAUUGCAGCAUCUCAAGUUUUUCGAGAUCGAGAAAUCUGGAAAAAAAUUCUCGAUCUCGAAAAAUCUCGAAGGCAUUUUCUCGAUCUCGACUCGAAAAAAAAAUCUGUCUCGUCUCGAAAUCGAGAAUUUCGAGAAUCUCGUGAAACCUUAGAUUCUCCCAAAAGUUUAAUUUUCCAGGUGUGAUAGGCUGCAUUGACUACACAUAUCGCUAUUUACCCGCCUAAGAUAGAUGAUCCAGACCAUCCAGAACACAUUUAUGUAAAUAGAAAAAGAUAUCAUUCCAUCAAUGUACAACUGAUAUGUGAUGCUAAUCUUAAAAUCAUUAACAUCACUGCAAGAUAUCCGGGUGGAAAUAAUGAGGCAUUUAUUUUGAGCGAUUCUAACGUUCAAAGGUUGCUACAACAGUUGUAUGCUAGGGGGCAUACUGAUUAUUUUUUUUUUAAGUGAGGAGAUUUUGGUUAUCCACUACGAACAUGGUGUUUCACUCCAUUAGAAAAUGAGCCAGCGGAGAAUACACCAAAAUAUGUUUACAAUCGUUGCCACAAAACAACACGGAGCAUCACUGAGAGAUGUAAUGAGAUUUCGUUGUUGCCUCAAACAUAGAGUGUUGCAUUAUGACUGUAACAGCGUGCAAAAUUAUAAAUUCUUGUGCAUUUUUACACAAAUUAUGUAUUGAACAUAACAUAC